UGCUUAUAUAGGGUAAAACAGGCCUUUCCUCUUGCCAAAAGGCCUGUUUUACGCUAUAAUAACAUAGCUAACUUAAUAAAAGUAUUGGUGCGUGGUAAUCCGCCGGGGCUUGUGCAAUGGAAACCUAUGAACCUUGUCAGGUCCGAGAGGAAGCAGCAAUAAGUAGUCAUUUUCAUGUGCCACGAGGAAACCUGGCGGGUUAUCAUACACGAAUACUUUUUGGUUGGUAGAAGCA
rnacentral:SRP_RNA from 4 species